rnacentral:rRNA from 1 species
AGUGAACGCUGGCGGUAGGCCUGACACAUGCAAGUCGAACGGCAGCACAGUAAGAGCUUGCUCUUACGGGUGGCGAGUGGCGGACGGGUGAGGAAUACAUCGGAAUCUACUUUUUCGUGGGGGAUAACGUAGGGAAACUUACGCUAAUACCGCAUACGACCUACGGGUGAAAGCAGGGGAUCUUCGGACCUUGCGCGAUUGAAUGAGCCGAUGUCGGAUUAGCUAGUUGGCGGGGUAAAGGCCCACCAAGGCGACGAUCCGUAGCUGGUCUGAGAGGAUGAUCAGCCACACUGGAACUGAGACACGGUCCAGACUCCUACGGGAGGCAGCAGUGGGGAAUAUUGGACAAUGGGCGCAAGCCUGAUCCAGCCAUACCGCGUGGGUGAAGAAGGCCUUCGGGCUGUAAAGCCCUUUUGUUGGGAAAGAAAAGCAGCAGGUUAAUACCCCGCUGUUCUGACGGUACCCAAAGAAUAAGCACCGGCUAACUUCGUG